rnacentral:rRNA from 1 species
CCUACAGGAGGCAGCAGUGGGGAAUAUUGGACAAUGGGGGGAACCCUGAUCCAGCCAUGCCGCGUGUGUGAAGAAGGCCCUCGGGUUGUAAAGCACUUUCAGUGAGGAAGAACGCCUGGUGGUUAAUACCCAUCAGGAAAGACAUCACUCACAGAAGAAGCACCGGCUAACUCCGUGCCAGCAGCCGCGGUAAUACGGAGGGUGCGAGCGUUAAUCGGAAUUACUGGGCGUAAAGCGCGCGUAGGUGGCUUGAUAAGCCGGUUGUGAAAGCCCCGGGCUCAACCUGGGAACGGCAUCCGGAACUGUCAAGCUAGAGUGCAGGAGAGGAAGGUAGAAUUCCCGGUGUAGCGGUGAAAUGCGUAGAGAUCGGGAGGAAUACCAGUGGCGAAGGCGGCCUUCUGGACUGACACUGACACUGAGGUGCGAAAGCGUGGGUAGCAAACAGGAUUAGAUACCCGUGUAGUC